ACAUUAUUUUUACUGAAGAUCACAGCUUCCCAAUGUUAAGCAGAGGAGAGUCUCUUCAGAUUGGCUCCUGGGUCCUUCAGACAUGAUCACAGCCAUAUUAUUUCAUUUCCACUCCACAAAUCCAACAUAGUUAAUUGGGUUUGAUAUUAAUGAGCUUGUACAGCUAAAACAUGGAAAUAUAAUAACUACUGUUGAUCGAUCUUUCAGCCCCGUCACGAAGGGCCCUCGUAACUGGACCUCAUGCCAAACAACUCGUUACAAAAAGAGCUAGGGUCUCAGACCACGCAGAAGCUUCAUGAGACCCCUCCUUGUCUGCAUGGACAAGUGGUCGACUCUGGAUCCCAAGAUGUUGCUUCCCAGUUUGGUGGUGAAUCCUCCAUAGUCUGGUGAGUCUAACUGAAAGGCUCAACACUCCAGUGAAGAAGAAACCACAAAUGAUGAACAAAUGUUUUGUCACUCUUUCAGAUUCAGAAAUUUUGCUUGAAAAAAGUCUGAAGAAACUAAUUUAGGAAAGAAACCUCUGCCAAUAACUCUAAAGAGUUUGAAUUGGUUGCCUUUAUUCCUAACACUAUGAUGUUUUGGGAUAGGAACUAGUAGAUGGUAUUUUUUCUUUCCCAUUGGCAGUAUAUCAUUUACAACAGAUGUUCCCGACUCAGGAUAAAAUGUAACUGGCAGCCAGAGUCACCCACCAGCCCCUGAGGAAAGGGCUCAACCUUGAGAACAUCUGGCUGGCUUCAAGAAGGUCACACAAAUACAAGAUGAUGCUGAGGAUAAGACAAGUGGUUUUGAGAGAGGAAAACCUUUAAAAAUAUUUGGAAGAGUCCUGAAGACCAAUAAAAUAAAGACACUGCAAUACUUCAUGGACACCAGAGAGCAAUUUAACACUGAAAUGAAAGCAACAUGUUGCACCUGAACACUGAAAAAAGCCCAUGUGUUAAGAGGAAGAAGAAAUAUGCAAUUCACUGCAAUAAAUAUUGAACCUUUAAAAAACAGAAGGAACAUGAAAACUAAAGGACACUGGGCCACAGCAAAUAAGGUGGCGGCAGCCAUCCCAUAAUGAUUACAUGAUCUCCAUGAUUGUAAAAUGUAUAUGCCACCUGAAUUUAUUCUUAGACCUUCUCUCAAAGAUGUCUGCAUUCAACACAGGCAAUAACUGCAGGUAAUAGUGAAGAAUCCUUCAGGCAUGAUAGAGGAACAGACUAAGUGUGGGAAAAGGAAGAACUAGGCCGGGCGCGGUGGCUCACGCCUGUAAUCCCAGCACUUUGGGAGGCCGAGGCGGGCGGA
rnacentral:lncRNA from 1 species